rnacentral:tRNA from 1 species
UCCCUGGUGGCUCAGUUGGUAAAGAGUCUGACUGUGAUGCAGGAGACCCGGGUUCGAUCCCUGGAUUGGGAA